GUGCUCUAGAAUAGGAGGCAAAAAUGUCAACUGGCUGGCUGCUGAGCCACCAGGGUUUCCCUACAGUUUCUUCCAGGCAGGGUUAUCUGGAGCACUCAGCGUACAGGAAGUAAUUUCUGGCCGAGAGACAUGGCUAAAAACGCCAAACCUCAGAACAGGGAUUUUUCAACGUAGACUGAAGUGAGGAGGAGAAAGAAGGCAGAGAAACAUGAAUUUUGUUAAAUGUGUGUGCACAUGCAUCAAUUUUCAUAGUUUCAGUUCCCCCAAAAUCAAGAACAAAAGCCUCAUGGCUUUCAUGCUACUAUGUUUUUUUACAGUUGUGGUCUAGUGGGAAUAACAAACAAGCUUUGGAGUCAGAUGGGGUGGUGUCUGAAUUCCACCUCUGCUGCUAACUAUGUGACCCAGGCCCAGAGACGGAAAGUACAAAGACUAGUAAAAUACAUCCUUGCCCUUAAGGAGCUAAGUACCCAAAACCUGUAAUCCAUCUUGAGUCACCAGAGUACGGUUGCUCAGAAACAGCAGUGGUGCGGUGGAAAGGGCAUCAACCCUGCGAUCCGGACAAGUCACUCCAUCCCUCUGAUCAUGCGUGCCCACCUACCACAUGAGGAUAUCACUUCAUAGACUUGCUGGAAGGGUUCAUUGUGUUAGCCUGUUCCCUGAGCUCUCUUCGUGAUCAAGAAGACUGAUCAGAUAAAUCAAGAGACUUGCCCAAAAUUACCUAGGAAAUCUGUAGCAGCAGCAGAACCAAACUCCGGUCCUUGCUAAAUCUAGAUACCAGGCUAGCUUUUCUAUGGACCCAGAAUUAACCCAUACAAAUGUACAAGCUUUUCCAGACCAGCUGGGGUGAGAUGAAUGAAAAUGGCAGCAACAUCAAUACCUCAGCUUCUUCAGCAACUUCAUCAAGUAAGGCUGCCAUGAGGAAGUGGGCCUAAAGGAGAGUUUUCUAGAACAAAGAAGGGGGCAAAGGAGUGGCUUGAAACUGCAAAAAGUGCAGACAAAAAAAAAAAAAAAAAGAAUGAAAUCUGGAGAGGAUGUGAGGAGAGGUCUAGCAAAAUGAUUAAAAAUUUGGACUUAGCAUCAAAGUCAAACAGAUCCAUAUUCAAAUCGUGGCUCUUCCAUGUCUUCACUAUGUAACCCCGAGGGAGCCAAUUUAACUCUCUUGGACUCCUCCUUUCUAAGCAUUUUAUCCACAGGGCCAUAAUAAAGAUCAAAGGAGAUCGUGUCUAAAAUGUCUAGCACAUGGUAAAUCACUCAAGAGAUGCUAGCCAAGAAAAGGAAAAAAAGGAAGGCGGCAAAGGGAAAUAGGUACUGAACGGUGACUCACAGAAACCAGGAUCCAAGGCUCCUUUCAAAAGUCAAGGCUUUAACCAAUGAGGGUUUCUGAUUAAGUCACCCUGGAGAAGGGGCUUUGGGCAAAGGUCUGCGGUAUGCUGACGAAAGCUGGACGCUGGGAGAACUGGUAAGAAUAUGCUAUUCUUCUGUUUCAAACUCUCCAGUAGCUUCCCAUCCAGCAGCUUUCAUGCCAAGCUUCCAGUUUGGCAUGAAAUCCGAACUCCUUAGCAGAGUUUACAACACCUCCACAAUAAAUAAGGGUCUGCCUUCCUAA